UGGACGAAAGUCUGACGGAGCAACGCCGCGUGAGUGAUGAAGGAUUUCGGUCUGUAAAGCUCUGUUGUUUAUGACGAAGUGCAGUGUGUGAACAAUGCAUUGCAAUGACGGUAGUAAACGAGGAAGCCACGGCUAACUACGUGCCAGCAGCCGCGGUAAUACGUAGGUGGCGAGCGUUGUCCGGAAUUAUUGGGCGUAAAGAGCAUGUAGGCGGCUUAAUAAGUCGAGCGUGAAAAUGCGGGGCUCAACCCCGUAUGGCGCUGGAAACUGUUAGGCUUGAGUGCAGGAGAGGAAAGGGGA
rnacentral:rRNA from 1 species